rnacentral:RNase_P_RNA from 1 species
UUCAUAAAUCGCCUUAUCGCUUUCAAAGGAAAGAGGAAAGUCCGGACAAUAUAGAGUACCAUACUUCUUAACGGGAAGGGUCUUUAAUUUUAAAGAUACAGAUAGUGCCACAGAAAAUAACCGCCAUAAUUUUAUGGUAAGGGUGAAAAAGUGAGGUAAGAGCUCACUAGGUUUAAUAGUGAUAUUAAAUUUGGGUAAACCUUAUGGAUUGAAAGAUCAAAUAUACCAAGGUGUCCUUUUGUACUAAGAGUUACUCGCUCAAUCUUGGAGGGUAGAUCGAUUGAUUAUAUUAGUGAUAAUAUAACUAGAUAAAUGAUAAGGGUCUUUACUUGUAAAGAUACAGAAUCCGGCUUAUAGAUUUAUGUAAAUU